rnacentral:rRNA from 1 species
AGUGAACGCUGGCGGUAGGCCUAACACAUGCAAGUCGAACGGCAGCACAGGAGAGCUUGCUCUCUGGGUGGCGAGUGGCGGACGGGUGAGGAAUACAUCGGAAUCUACCUUUUCGUGGGGGAUAACGUAGGGAAACUUACGCUAAUACCGCAUAAGACCUUCGGUUGAAAGCCGGGGACCUUCGGGCCUGGCGCGGAUAG